ACGAUUUACAUUAUUUGUUAACGCAUCAACAAUUAGCAUUGAUCCGCUUGGGCCAAAUCCUUCAUAUCUUAGGUGAUCAAAGUUUUCGUCUCCAGCACCCUUAGCUUUAUCUAUUGCUUUUUCAAUAAUAUGAUUCGGCACUGAAUAUGUCUUAGCGCGUUCAAGCACCAACCUUAAAGCUUGGUUAGAUUCUGGAUUGGGUUCACCAGAUUUUGCUGCAACAUAAAUCUCCUUACCAAAUUUCGCAUAUAUUCUACUUGUGUUUUUAUCUUUUUGGGCCUUUUUUUCUUUAAUGUUAUUCCAUUUACG
rnacentral:sRNA from 1 species